rnacentral:rRNA from 1 species
UACGGAGGGUGCAAACGUUGCUCGGAAUUAUUGGGCGUAAAGCGCACGUAGGCGGUCUGUUAAGUCGGAUGUGAAAGCCCCGGGCUCAACUCGGGAAGUGCAUUCGAAACUGGCAGGCUUGAAUAUGGAAGAGGGUCGCGGAAUUCCCGGUGUAGAGGUGAAAUUCGUAGAUAUCGGGAGGAACACCAGUGGCGAAGGCGGCGACCUGGGCCAACACUGACGCUGAGGUGCGAAAGCGUGGGUAGCAAACAGG